UUGGCACUCUUGACAAGAAAGUUUUUAAAAGAUUCAUAAAAAAAAAUAAAUCUAAAAAUGAUACUAAAAAUAAAAUUGAACUCAAGAAAAAAUAAGUUAUAUGCUAUGAAUGCAAGAAGCCGGGACAUUUCAAAGGCGAAUAUCCCCAAGUAUAGAACAAACAACUAAAGAAGAAGAAUACGCUCAAAGCAAAGUGGGAUGAUUCGAGUGAU
rnacentral:lncRNA from 1 species